CAUUCCCUGAAGUGCUUGACUCCACUGACGCUGUCUGUGGCGCGGACCGGAAGUGGAGCACGGAAUGGCCUCUAUACUGUACCGUGUUGUGUUGGGACGAUCCUCUGCCUCCGCCAGAGUACAGUAAUUAUACAUGGGAUAAUUUCACGCGAACUGAAGGUUACAAAGUCAACUACACCUGUGAAGAGGACAGACUCUUCGGAAAUCUCCAAAGGACACUCGAGCUAGCGUGUGAAAACGACGGAAAAUGGAGCUUCGUCGCAAAGAAUGACUUCGCUUGUAGAAUUC